UUUGCUAUUUGUAAUGGUUCUCAAAUGAUUAUUCGUAUUGUCUUAUUUUAAUAUCCAACAUGGGAGUGAUCAUAUUGUUUUGUUUGAUUGAAGGGUGAAAUCUGCUGGGUGUGAGCCAGAUGUCCACCAUAAGACUGUGUCAUUGUCUGAGGAUUUCCUAAAGACGAAAAGGAUGACGAUUGAAAAUUUGAUUGAAUCAUCUGAGGUAUGUCAAGGAUUUGUUCUUGCAACUAUAUGUGAACCUGAGACCAGUUUGGAAUGGUACUUUCGUUCAUGUACCCAGUGUGCUUCGUUAGUCACAGUUGUUCCGAGGUUCAAGCUGCAUGUUAUAGUCAUGGACGAUACAGGCUCCACAACAUGCAGCAGGUUGUAGAAUGUGGUGAUUCCAUACUCCUGUUGGUAAGUCUUCUAUGAAAAGAUCAUCCGGUGAUAUGGAUUCUGUUACAAAUGGAAGUGGCGAGGUUGGACAAGCAUCUGUCACACAGCCGUCAAAGAUGGUGCUCGUGAAAAUUGAACCCAAAGAUUAAAGCUGACGUAAUAAUCGUUGACGAGGAUCAUAUGUUUGAUGUUUUUUUAAUGAUGUUACCUGUUUAUCUACAUUUUCUUUGUCGUUAAUAAUCAGAUGGCAGAUUAUGUUCUGUUCAUCUAUUAUACAAUUAGUCAUUUGAUUUCAA